UUCCUGUGAAAUAUUCUAGCACAUCCACCAGCUUACAAAAUUCUACACGAGGACUAUUAAUCCAUCACCACGACGAAUACAGUCAACAAUCAACAAUUAAUUAAGUACACAUAAACACACACACAACAAAUUAGAUACACAUAAUCACACCCAAUAUUACACACAUAUAUUUAAGAUUUAAACACUCAUAAAGAUACAUAGACAUACAUAAACAUACAAACAACACUAUAUUAAAGAUUAAAGGAUUUCUCUAAAGGAA